CCCUUCAUGCUUCAUCCUUCCAGAAGCUCCCAAAACUCUCCAGAAUCUCCCAACUCUGUCAGACCCUAACUGAACCAUCUCUCUCCUCUCUCUCUCUCUCUCUCCCCCCCCCCCCUGCAAUCUCUGUGAAUUAAAGGGGAGCAAAAAGAUGAGUAGUCGAUCGAGUUGCACUAUCUACGUCGGCAAUCUGCCUGGAGAUAUUCGUAUGAGAGAAGUUGAAGAUUUGUUCCUGAAGUAUGGACCUAUUGUUGACAUUGAUCUCAAAAUCCCUCCAAGACCGCCAGGUUAUGCUUUUGUUGAGUUUGAAGAUCCUCGUGAUGCUGAUGAUGCAAUUUAUGGCCGGGAUGGGUACGACUUUGAUGGGUUUCGUUUACGGGUUGAACUAGCACAUGGUGGACGGCACUCCUCAUCACAUCGUUCCAGCAGUUACAGUCGUAGUAGCAGCAGCCGUGGUGCUUCUCGGCGCUCUGACUAUCGUGUGCUGGUUACUGGAUUGCCUCCUGCUGCUUCGUGGCAGGAUCUGAAAGAUCACAUGCGCCGAGCUGGCGAUGUCUGCUUUUCUCAAGUGUUCCGUGAUCGUGAUGGCAUGAAGGGAAUUGUAGAUUACACAAACUACGAGGAUAUGAAAUAUGCUAUCAGAAAACUUGAUGACUCUGAAUUCAGAAAUGCCUUUGCUCGCUCUUACAUACGGGUGAGGGAGUAUGAUUCUAGGCAUAGCUAUUCCAGAAGCCCUGGUUAUGACCAUAGACGGAGCUACUCUAGAAGCCCCAGCCGUACUCCAUAUAUGUCAAGAAGUCCAAGUGUCAGCCGCAGCUAUAGCUAUGGGGGCCGGAGCAGAAGCAUAUCACCGGAGGCAACAUAUUCACGACGCUCUCCAUCAGUAUCUUACCGAAGGUCUGUCUCACGUUCCCGCUCAAGAUCAGGCAUUUGUGGAGAUCUGGGGACUGGAUCUUAGGACCUUGAUGGGAUGUGGUGCUCAUGCCUGCAACUCUUAGUUGAGGUAACGCGAUUUUGUUGAUGAGCACCUCCGAAAAAAAAAAAAAAAAAAAAAAAAAAAAAAACUCAAUGAAAAUAAUUUUAAUCACUUCUAAGAUGGAUUACUGUUGAACGCUAUCAAACCCACAAAUCAGCGGUGGGGACGCAUAAAGCUCACAAACUACUACAUUCAUUAACUUGCGAUAAGGAUGCGUGGAUUUUCUCCUCUUUUCAUCUAGGAUUCGAUGUUGUGUGAUGCUGGUAUUUUGAUUUCUUACUUUUAUUAAUUGGUUUAUAUUUAAGACAUGCUGGAAAGAUCAUGGGGUGCUUGGUGUAGAGCAUCUGAGGAUAAAAGGUUUAUGAUUUUUACUAUUUUCUACGCUUUCAAUUACGGUAAGUCUGCUCUUGGAAGUCGUGUCAGAGCGUCAAUAGAAAAGAAUAAUGUUGUUGAUAUUAAUUUUGGAUUAUUGGAAAUAUUGCAGAUCUCGGACACUAUCUAGGUCUCCAAAUUAUAUUCCUCGUCGCAGGACUAUGAGCAGAUCAAGGUCAAGGUCCAGAAGCAUAUCUCGGUCUCCUUCACCCUCUGCCUGGUGAGAUCCGAAGGACGCGUCUCUGUAGACUCCGGGGCCGUCAUUAUCAUUUCCUAUUGCCUUUCUCUCGUAGACGGAAGGAAAUUAGGAACUUGUGUGCUAUGCGUUCGGUUUAGGACAUUCCUUGAACGGUCUAGUAUUGCAUCGAUGAACUCAGUGACGUUAAAUUUAGUAUGAUGUAUUAAAAGUGAUCUUAACCAAUGUUGUCACCUGCUGAAUUGGUUUGCAUUUGUAGCACGGUUGCGUUGCGAUACAAUGGGCUUGGUGCCCGAAAUUUAGUACGCUUGCAGUUAUCUUU